rnacentral:rRNA from 1 species
UACAGAGGUCCCAAGCGUUGUUCGGAUUUACUGGGCGUAAAGGGUGCGUAGGUGGUAGGGUAAGUUCUAGGUGAAAGCUUCGGGCUCAACCCGAAAAUUGCCUCGAAUACUAUUCUGCUAGAGGGUCGGAAGGGAGACUGGAAUUCUCGGUGUAGCAGUGAAAUGCGUAGAUAUCGAGAGGAACACCUGUGGCGAAGGCGAGUCUCUGGACGAUUCCUGACACUGAGGCACGAAAGCUAGGGGAGCAAACGGG